CCUACGGGAGGCAGCAGUGGGGAAUAUUGGACAAUGGGGGGAACCCUGAUCCAGCCAUGCCGCGUGUGUGAAGAAGGCCCUCGGGUUGUAAAGCACUUUCAGUGAGGAAGAACGCCUGGUGGUUAAUACCCAUCAGGAAAGACAUCACUCACAGAAGAAGCACCGGCUAACUCCGUGCCAGCAGCCGCGGUAAUACGGAGGGUGCGAGCGUUAAUCGGAAUUACUGGGCGUAAAGCGCGCGUAGGUGGCUUGAUAAGCCGGUUGUGAAAGCCCCGGGCUCAACCUGGGAACGGCAUCCGGAACUGUCAAGCUAGAGUGCAGGAGAGGAAGGUAGAAUUCCCGGUGUAGCGGUGAAAUGCGUAGAGAUCGGAGGAAUACCAGUGGCGAAGGCGGCCUUCUGGACUGACACUGACACUGAGGUGCGAAAGCGUGGGUAGCAAACAGGAUUAGAUACCCGUGUAGUC
rnacentral:rRNA from 1 species